rnacentral:rRNA from 1 species
UACGUAGGGGGCAAGCGUUGCUCGGAAUUACUGGGCGUAAAGGGUGCGUAGGCGGGUCUUUAAGUCUGGGGUGAAAUCCUGGAGCUCAACUCCAGAACUGCCUUUGAUACUGAGGAUCUUGAGUUCGGGAGAGGUGAGUGGAAUUGCGAGUGUAGAGGUGAAAUUCGUAGAUAUUCGCAAGAACACCAGUGGCGAAGGCGGCUCACUGGCCCGAUACUGACGCUGAGGCACGAAAGCGUGGGGAGCAAACAGG